CAAAGUUUUCCUGUUCUGUGUGUUUUGUUUUCAACUAGAUUUAAAUUCCAGAGAGCAGGAGACGUGUCAGCCAGUACAUGUGAUCAAUGUGGACAUUCAGGAUAACCACGAGGAGGCCACCCUAGGUGCUUUCCUCAUCUGUGAGCUCUGCCAGUGUAUACAGCACACAGAAGACAUGGAAAAUGAAAUAGAUGAGCUGUUACAGGAAUUUGAAGAGAAAAGUGGAAGGACUUUUCUUCAUACUGUCUGCUUUUAUUAAAGCACAUCUGUCUCUUAGGCCUUAAUACAGAUGAGGGAAGCAUGUGUUUAAAGUUCCAAUUAUACUGUAUUUUCCUGGAAA